rnacentral:snoRNA from 16 species
AGCAAUGAUGAAGCCUCGAUUGGCUGAUUUGAUGAUUGGGAGGGACUUGGCUGAGC